GACGAACGCUGGCGGCGGGCCUAAUACAUGCAAGUAGAACGAGUUUCGCACGGGUGAGUAACGCGUGGUAACCUGCCUCAUAGCGGGGGGAAACUAUUGGAAACGAUAGCUAAUACCGCAUACUGUGAGAUGGAUCUGCGUGGUAUUAGCUAGUUGGUGGGGUAAAGGCUCACCAAGGCGACGAUACAUAGCCGAUCUGAGAGGAUGAUCGGCCACACUGGAACUGAGACACGGUCCAGACUCCUACGGGAGGCAGCAGUGGGGAAUAUUGCACAAUGGGCGCAAGCCUGAUGCAGCCAUGCCGCGUGUAUGAAGAAGGCCUUCGGGUUGUAAAGUACUUUCAGCGGGGAGGCGUUACCCGCAGAAGAAGCACCGGCUAACUCCGUGCCAGCAGCCGCGGUAAUAC
rnacentral:rRNA from 1 species